UCGGGCGUGGUGUAAUUGGCAACACAUGUGCCUUUGGUGCAUAAAUUUCAGGUUCGAGUCCUGGCGCCCGAGCUA
rnacentral:tRNA from 1 species